AUUGAACGCUGGCGGCAUGCCUUACACAUGCAAGUCGAACGGCAGCACGGGUGCUUGCACCUGGUGGCGAGUGGCGAACGGGUGAGUAAUACAUCGGAACGUACCUUAUCGUGGGAGAUAAUGCAGCGAAAGUUGCGCUAAUACCGCAUAAGCCCUGAGGGGGAAAGCGGGGGACCGUAAUGCCUCGCGCGAUUAGAGCGGCCGAUGUCUGAUUAGCUUGUUGGUGAGGUAAAAGCUCACCAAGGCGAUGAUCAGUAGCUGGUCUGAGAGGACGAUCAGCCACACUGGGACUGAGACACGGCCCAGACUCCUACGGGGGGCAGCAGUGGGGAAUUUUGGACAAUGGGGGCAACCCUGAUCCAGCAAUGCCGCGUGAGUGAAGAAGGCCUUCGGGUUGUAAAGCUCUUUUGUCAGGGAAGAAACAGCAGCUCUAACACAGUCUGCGAAUGACGGUACCUGAAGAAUAAGCACCGGCUAACUACGUGCCAGCCGCCGCCGUAA
rnacentral:rRNA from 1 species